rnacentral:rRNA from 1 species
AUGACCUCUCCAUCUCAGCUCUCUGCCACAAACAGCGCCCUCACCACCGUCACGGCUCCUGCAUCCCCGGCCUCCAACGCAGUGCAUGUGGCCAGCGUCAAGACCCAUGUCCCCGUCGUCCUCGACCUCAAGGCGUCGAACUUUACCAAGUGGCGCAUGCUGAUCACCGUUCUCUUGGGCAAGUACGACCUCAUCGGCCAUAUAGCUGCCGCUACUCCGGCUGCUGAUCGCACGCCAGAGUGGAGCCGCGAGGACUUCGUCGUCCGCUCGUGGUUGUACGGCUCCAUUAGCGACGACAUCCUGGAUAUUAUCAUGGCGGAAGACCAGACGGCGCACGAGGCGUACACGCUCAUCCAGAACUUGUUCCUCGACAACCAGAUGACGCGCGCUGUUUAUCUCGAGGCGGAGUUCCGUGCCAUCGUUCAAGGCGAUCUCACCAUCACCGCCUAUUGUCACCGGCUCAAAUCCCUCUCUGAUGCACUCCGCGACGUCGGCCAGCCGGUGUCGGAUCAGACCUUGGUCUUGACGUGCCUACGUGGCCUCAAUUCUCGCUUCGCCGACAUCACCACUCUGGUCACCAUGCAGGUUCCGUUCCCUACGUUCCUGCAGACAAGGUCUCUCCUUCUUCUUCGUGAGACGCAGCUCUCGCACACCAUGCCUACGCCACCGCCGCAGACCGCCAUGUACGGCCACGGCGCCGGUGCCUCCUCUGGCGGUGCCUACAAUGGAGACCGCUCCUCAGGUGACCGCAACUCCGGCGGCAACGGCGGCCGCUUCCAGAAAAAGAAGAAGAACGGGGGCGUCGGUCACUACCGUGGCAACGGUGGCGAGCGUAACCACAACGGCGGUGGCUCUUCCGGUACCCACGCUGCAGCUGGUCCGUGGAUCUGCUUCAACCCCUACACGGGCCAGGCCCAGCCGCUGCCGGUCUCCUGGCGCCCCGCUGGUGGAGCAGGCCUUCUUGGACCGCGGCCUGCUGCACCCCAGCGCCCGUACCAAGCGUAUACUACGCUGCUCGCUCCACUCCAUGGGCAGGCGUACGGCACUGACCCACCGCCACCGGGUACACCCUCCAGCCACGGCGCUCCAGCUUGGGACUGCUCGGCGCUCAUGGCUGCCCUAAAUAAUGCUGCUGCAUCAUCUUCA